rnacentral:rRNA from 1 species
AUACGAAGGUCCCAAGCGUUAUUCGGAAUCACUGGGCGUAAAGAGUACGUAGGCGGUUUGGUAAGUCAGGUGUGAAAUCCCGGAGCUCAACUCCGGAACUGCAUCCGAUACUGCCAGACUUGAGUAAUAGAGAGGCAGGUGGAAUUCUCGGUGUAGCAGUGAAAUGCGUGGAUAUCGAGAGGAAGACCAAUGGCGAAGGCAGCCUGCUGGACAUUUACUGACGCUGAGGUACGAAGGCUAGGGGAGCGAAAGGGAUUAGAAACCCCAGUAGUCC